rnacentral:rRNA from 1 species
GCAGAGACAGGUGCUGCAUGGCUGUCGUCAGCUCGUGUUGUGAAAUGUUGGGUUAAGUCCCGUAACGAGCGCAACCCUUGUCCUUAUUUGCCAGCACGUAAAGGUGGGAACUCUAAGGAGACUGCCGGUGACAAACCGGAGGAAGGUGGGGACGACGUCAAGUCAUCAUGGCCCUUACGAGUAGGGCUACACACGUGCUACAAUGGCCGGUACAAAGGGCUGCGAGCUCGCGAGAGUCAGCGAAUCCCUUAAAGCCGGUCUCAGUCCGGAUCGGAGUCUGCAACUCGACUCCGUGAAGUCGGAAUCGCUAGUAAUCGUGAAUCAGAAUGUCACGGUGAAUACGUUCCCGGGCCUUGCACACACCGCCCGU